GAGAGAUGAUGUGGAGGCGUGGGACUCAGUGAGAUGAUGUGAAUGAUUGAGACUCAGUGAGAUGAUGUGGAGAUUUGGGACUCAGUGAGAUAAUUUGGAGGAUUGGUACUCAGUGAGAUAAUUUGGAGGAUUGGUACUCAGUGAGAUAAUGUGGAGGCUUGGGACUCAGUGAGAUAAUGUGGAGGCGUGGGACUCAGUGAGAUAAUGUGGAGGCUUGGGACUCAGUGAGAUAAUGUGUAGGCGUGGGACUCAGUGAGAUAAUGUGAAGGCGUGGGACUCAGUGAGAUGAUGUGAAUGAUUGGGACUCAGUGAGAUGAUGUGGAGGCGUGGGACUCAGUGAGGUGAUGUGAAGGAUUGGGACUCAGUGAGAUGAUGUGGAGGCGUGGGACUCAGUGAGGUGAUGUGAAGGAUUGGGACUCAGUAAGUGAAAUGAUGUGGACUCUUGGGACUAAUUGAGAUAAUGUGGAGUCUUAGGACUCAGUGAGAUGAUAUGGAGUCUCGGGACUCAGUAAGUGAGAUAAUGUGGAGGAUUGGGACUCAGUAAGUGAGAUAAUGUGGAGGAUUGGGACUCAGUAAGUGAGAUGAUAUGGAGUCUCGGGACUCAGUAAGUGAGAUAAUGUGGAGGAUUGGGACUCAGUAAGUGAGAUGAUAUGGAGUCUCGGGACUCAGUAAGUGAGAUAAUGUGACGGAUUGGGACUCAGUAAGUGAGAUAAUGUGAAGGAUUGGGACUCAGUAAGUGAGAUAAUGUGGAGGAUUGGGACUCAGUAAGUGAGAUAAUGUGGAGGAUUGGGACUCAGUAAGUGAGAUAAUGUGGAGGAUUGGAACUCAGUAAGUGAGAUAAUGUGGAGGAUUGGGACUCAGUAAGUGAGAUAAUGUGGAGGAUUGGGACUCAGUAAGUGAAAUAAUGUGAAUGAUUGGGACUCAGUAAGUGAAAUGAUGUGGACUCUUGGCUCUCAGUGAGAUGAUAUAGAGUCUUGGGACUCAGUGAGAUGAUGUUUGAGUCUUGGGACACUUAUACUAGACAUGCUGAUGUAUGGUUGUUGACCAAGGAAUGUUAUGUUUUUCAGGGUCACAUGAGAUUCCCAGUUGACAUUUCCCAAGACGAUUGCUGGACAAAUAGAUUUUGUGGGUUGAGAGACAGUAGGGAUCUGAUU
rnacentral:lncRNA from 1 species